GGUAGCGGCUCGCAGGAGCUCCUGCGUAAAGCCCGGGCUUCCUCCCUCCCCACAACCCCACUAUCCCAUUGAGAGACUUCGGGCUGGUGGUCUGAGGUGUUUUACUGCACUGAACUCCGAUACGAUUCCUCCACCUUCAUGGCAAGCAGAACUAGGGAUUACCAGGUCCCCAGGACAGACAAAUUCAACCAAGGUCAAGGCCUGAGUGCGGUCCAGCCUCUAUCCGAGGUGCGUUCUCAGCCUUGGCUCCUAGCGUCCUCGACCCUCCCUCAAGCGAGGAAGAAGAGGAGGCCCUCUCAACUGUCCAGGCUCAUGAGUAGAGCAGUGCCCCUCUUGAUCCAGUGAUCAGACGGCAUGGUCCCAGAGCGCAGGUCGAUGCCAAUGACAAAGGAUGCACGGUCUGAGCUGCCUGCCCGGUUGGGAUAGUAAUAGCAGGGACAGGAGUACAUGCCUGCGGAAAGGAGAGGAGAAAGAGUCAGACCCUGGAGCCUCUGGGAAGGAAGGGUGGAGCAGAGGCUGGGCUGAUCCAGACUAGGGAUGGGGCAGGCAAGCUUGAGGGAGCUGUCCCACCCUUGGCACUCUUCUUGCGGCUCUCUGUAGGUCGGAAGUGGAUCGUGGGCAUGAGGCAGACAAGCUGCAUGGGCUCUGCCUCCACCAAGCAGGAGUUCUUCCGGUCCCAGCCGGCACCCUCCAGCACCCUGCUCCGCCAGAGCCCCCUCUGCUCAGAGCCCAGAAGCACAUCUGGCUCCCACCUUGGGUGGAUAUACUAGGUUGCUGUCGUCCACGGUGGAGACGACAAACUCCCAAGAGAGGCUGUCCACUGAAAUCUGGGGAUGGAAGGUCCUGAAGACACAAAGAUGAAGAAGGCCAGUGUUCAUCCCGGAGGAAGUCAAGUGGAGUGGGGAGGACAGGCAAGAGGCCGCUGGCUAGGAUAUGACACAAUGAGUCCCAGUCAAGGGUUCAAGGGUGGCAGCGGCCGCCCUGCCGGAAAGGAGCUGCCCAGGCUCUUUGAGCUUCCUCUUGCCAGCGGCGAUAUUGAUGACGAGUGAGUCCUUCUGCUCCUCCAGCUCCGGCCGCUCCUUCCGGACCACAAUGCCCAGCAGCUGCGCCUCCAGGCCCUGAGACGGCCAGGGCUCGUGGGUUGAGUGUGGGAUCCAGAUACUCCUGCACGUUCUGGAGCAGCACUGGGUGUCCAAACUGGAUGGCGUCUUCCAGGAUUCGAAGGGCCUGGGCCUGAGGAUCGAUCAUCAGCGCCCACCUGGAGGAGGCGGCGGGAGUCAGGAGCCGGGCUCCGCCCUUCCUGGGCCUCGUGCCCCCAGCAGCGUCCUUACCUGUUGCCACGGGUGACGAUGAUGCCAUUCUCGGUGGAGAAGGCAUCGGAGGGCAAGCCCUGGAUGUUCCAGUCGCGAACUUUGGUGGGAUUGGACAGGAAGUUAUCGAAGGUGAAUCGGGGUCCGACCUCAGCUCGAGCGCUCUCGCCUGUGCCCCGCGCACCUUCCUGAUCCAGAUCUGGUUGACGAUCUCAUCCCGGUAGUUGGUCAGGAAGGGCCCCAUGUAGGACAGGAAGGCAGCGGCCAGCAGACAGUCUCCCACCAGCGGGACAGGGGCUCUUGGCCCCAGUGGGCAGGGCCGAAGGAGAGCCGGGCGGGACCACCGAUCUCACCUUCACCGUCUCCUCCCAUCGGGCCUUUUCGCCGGCCAAGCCAGACACCAGCAUCCCGGCUCGUGCCAGCUUUGUCUCCAUCUCCUCGGACUUCUUGCGAAGCUCUUCCUUCUGGGCCAGCUUCUCAUCGUACUGUUUUUUCAGCAUCUCCAGUUUCUCGGCCACCUGGGAGGAUUCAGAGUACGGGGCGGGGGGCGGGGGGUCAAACAUGGGGCUUGAGGCCAGACUCUUCUGGCUGCAGAUCACCAGCCUGCCAUGCUGUGGUUCUGUGACCUCGGGAAGAUAUCUGCCCCGUGUCCGCGUGUGAAAAAAAAAAAAAAAAAAAAAAAAGGAACAAUUAACACUGACCCUACUGGGUGGUUGUGAAGAGAAAAACAGGAUCAAACACACGUGAAAAGGCGGGAUGUCUUUCCCUUCCUUCAUCCCUCUUGCCUUGAGCCUGGAACCUACUCGGGAAUGGAACUCAAGGCUGAGUGGGAGACGGACCUCUUGCAGUAUCUUAAUAAAGCACAUGGGACAUGUUGGUAAGAGAGGACCAAAGAGCACAGCAACUCCUGCCACUCUGCGCCAGGGGCCACACCUAAGGCUGCACCUUGAGAGAGGAAGAAAAAGCUAGAAAGAACCCAGGCACUGGUGGAGGAAUGAAGAAGGAGUCCAUUCAAGAAAAAGACCCUGGGUCCAGAGUCGCAACCAAAAACAGGACCUGACAAAAGCCUUACCUCCUAAAGAGGCCUCCGUCACCAGGACUUGUUUGUAAUGUUUAGAAAUACCAAAUCGCUAUGUUGUGCACCAGGAACUAGCGUGGGGUGUAGAUCAAUGAUACUUCAAACAAACAGGAGUUCCUGUUGUGGCUCAGCGGGUUAAGAACCCCAUGUAGAAUCCCAGAGGGUGAGGAUACGGGUUCGAUCCCUGGCCUCGAUCAGUAGGUUAAGGAGCUGGUGUGGCCAGAAGCUGUGGCGUAGGCUGCAGAUGCAUCUUGGAUCUGGCGUUGCUGUGGCUGUGGCGUAGGUGGCAGCUGCAGCUCUGAUUCAGUCCCUAGCCUGGGAAUUUCCAUAUGCUGCAGGUGUGGCCCUAAAAAGAAAAAAAGAAAAAACUCACAAAAAAGACCAGAGAGUUCCCUUGUGGUGCAGUGGGUUAAGGAUGCAACAUAGGUCUCAGCUGCAGGAUUUGGUCCCAUAUGCCACAGAUACGGCCAAAAAAGAAAAAUAAUUGGAAGGAAUAAAGGAAACAACUGAGUCUUUUCCAGGAUCCUGUAUGUGUGCCUGAUCAGCCAAUAGUAAUUGCAUCUGUGAA
ensembl:lncRNA